GGAGCUAGUUUACUAGUGUGGCAGGUUGAGUGUUGCUCCUCCUCCACUCAGGUGAUUUCUGGUGGGCAGAUUGCAGAGUGGUUUCACCUGUAUAAGUGCUGCGCCUUCUCUGGCGCUCACACUGCUGCCUGGCACUCGUGGCGAGGACUCGGUGUGGCGUCCGUUAGUUGUUGGUUUGUUGUCGGUUGGUGUGGCGUGCUUCAGUCACUUGAAGGUGAGUAGGCAUGACGCUACUUUCGUGCAACUUUAUGAUGACAAGCAGGUGCCCAGUGAUCGCGAGUGUUUUUGUAACUUUCCAGCGUUGUGGCCGUGUUGUUCGGGGGCGGCAUUGUGAAGAGUGAGGGGAGUGUGGCAUCCGCUCUGUACUGUUGCCGCAGCCGGUGAUCAGUUUCGGGGGCGUAAAGCUCUCUUCGUUCGGCUGUUGGAGCCGCAGCGGUGCUUUUGCUUUCCUUCCUCCUCCUGUGCUCUGGUGAAGCUGCCCUGCACGGCUCUGUGACGUAGCCUACACCUGGCGAUCCCCAAACGUAAACCAUCCACGGCCUCCGGUCCUGGGGCGGCCGCUCCGUCUUCUCCAUCCACUCCGUCGUCUUCAUCAUCUUCGGCUGCUCCGGCACCGUUGCCUUUUUCCACACAGUCCGAUGUGGCGGUUGCAUUCCCACGCAGCGCUAAGUUUUUAGUCCCACCACAAUUCUUAUCGGUUUGGUUAAUUGUCUGCUUUUCCUUUCAUCUUUUUGUGUUUGUGUUCUUUAGUUUAUUUGUUUGGGUUAAAUCCUAUACAUACAUAUAUUUUUGUGUUGCGUUCUGUUGACCCAUUUGGGGUUAAGCAUAUCAAUAUUUUCUUAUUAUUUCUGAUCUAUUGCUUUGGGGUUCAACGGAUUAUUUUCUGUUUAGUUUGACAUAGCUGUUGGGUUUGUGUAUGUGUGUGUUUUAUUAUAGUCCUCUGUUUUAAAUGAUUGUCGUAACAACCUGAGUGUCUCGCCACAACAGUAGUGUAAUUUUGUGCUUCUUUCUUGUGUUUCCAGGACAGGAGCUGGUGUAGCGGGCGGCAGGCUUUGAUUUGGUUUGUAGUGGUUCUUUUGUGGUUUUGAGUUUAUUUAGUCUGACCGCCUCGCUACCGCCUAGCUCUGUGCCUGUUGUAUUUAUUUCUACUUUGACUUGACACUUCAUUGGUUGUUGAGGUCCCUGAGCUCUUUUAAUUCUGCUUACCGUAGAUAAAUAAAAUUACAUCUUUUGUAA